AGCAGCCGCGGUAAUUCCAGCUCCAAUAGCGUAUAUUAAAGUUGUUGCAGUUAAAAGCUCGUAGUUGAAUUUCGGGAUCAAAGGAUCGGUCAUGCCUUGGUAUGUACUGGUUUUAUUGGUUCUCACCUUCUAAAGAACCAUAAUGUCAUUCAUUUGAUGUUAUGGGGAAUUAGGACUGUUACCUUGAAAAAAUUAGAGUGUUUAAAGCAGGCUUACGCUUGAAUACAUUAGCAUGGAAUAAUGAAAUAGGACAUCAGAUUCUAUUUUGUUGGUUUCUAGGAUCGAUGUAAUGAUUAAUAGGGAUAGUUGGGGGCAUUAGUAUUCAAUUGUCAGAGGUGAAAUUCUUGGAUUUAUUGAAGACUAACUACUGCGAAAGCAUUUGCCAAGGAUGUUUUCAUUAAUCAAGAACGAAAGUUAGGGGAUCGAAGACGAUCAGAUACCGUCGUAGUCUUAACCAUAAACUAUGCCGACUAGGGAUCGGAUGAUGUUAAUUUUAUAAUGACUCAUUCGGCACCUUACG
rnacentral:misc_RNA from 1 species